rnacentral:misc_RNA from 1 species
AGAAACGAAAAAACCCGCCAGAGGUUGAUUCGUCCAGUUAGAAGUCUUCGACCUCUUCUACCUGGAGUAGGUAACUGGGUGUACAAGACCGCAAUUACCAAACUGUUCUUUCAGUGUAGCCGCAGUCAGGCCACUACUUCAAGACCUCUUUAGAUACCUUCUUGUACACCCCUGUUACCAAUGGCUGCUGCCAAUGGCGUUUUUGCGUGUCCGUCCGAUCCGGGUUGGACUCAAGACGAUAGUUACCGGAUGAGGCGCAGCAGUCGGGCUGAACGGGGGGUUCGUGCAUACAGUCCAGCUUGGAGCGAACUGCCUUCCCGGAACUGAGUGUCAGGCGUGGAAUGAGACAAACGCGGCCAUAACAGCGGAAUGACACCGGUAAACCGAAAGGCAGGAACAGGAGAGCGCACGAGGGAGCUACCAGGGGGAAACGCCUGGGAUCUUUAUAGUCCUGUCGGGUUUCGCCGCCACUGAUUUGAGCGUCAGAUUUCGUGAUACUCGUCAGGGGGGCGGAGCCUAUGGAA